UUUAUUUAUUUUUUUUUUUUAAAUGGUCACCAUUUGGGUUGGUUUGUUGUGUGUUGUACUGUUGAAAGAGCAAUAUGACUGAUGUCUGAUCUUAUUUUAUUCUGAGAAUAAAAUGACACUUAAUUUUUUUUUAAAUACUGGGUUCUGAGAUUUCUGUCUUUCAGAUAAGGACAGAUCAAGUAAUUGUGUCAGACAUUUCAUUCAGAAAUACGGUUGUAAAUGUUUUUUUACUGAAAUUCUCAUCACAUUCUAUUUUCCUUCCCCUCUUUUUCUCAACUUUCCUCUCUUCUGUCCCGCUCAGCAGUAUCUCUCAUAAAAUAAGUAGCACAGUUGGUAGCAUGUGGGACUCGCUCAAGAGCAUGUUCUCUAGUAAAAGUGAGUCGGAGCAAGCAACAGAACAGGAGAAUGUGGAGCAGCAAACCGAUGAGGAUGGACAGAUAGAAGAAGAGGAUAAACCGGGCAUGUGG